AUGGCUCUUAUAGGACAAAAAAAAAUCAACAUUUUUCGGGGGGGAAAAACCCCUUCUGAUGAGCGACUGGGGGGUUUAGGAGGGAUCGGGGAAGAACAAACUCCUUCCUCUUCCUCACCCCAGCACCAAAACCGCGAAAAUUGUGGCCAAAAAGCCCAAAAUUCGGCUCCGAGACACCUCCAUCGUGGCCAAAAACUCCAAAUUCGGCUCCGAGACGCCCCCAUCGAGGCCGAUAAAAACAAAUUUGGCUUGGAGACACGCUCCGGGUCCCGCCUGCCGCAGGCAGAACCCCGUUCUCACCCAUUUUCUCCCCAAAAAAAAACCUUCCUCAGACCUUCCUCCUCCUCCUCCCGACAUCGCGGUGACGCCGGAGAAGAGGGAAUAUCUCAUCGGGGACACGGUCUCCAUCCGGUGCUCGGCCCCCCGGUCCCGGGACAAGGUGCGGGGCUUCCAGUUCUCCAGGACGGGCGGCUGGCUGGACGUGCGUCGGCCGGGGUGGUGAGCGAAGGCUUCCCCCUCCUCUUCCUCUGCACGGCCCCGGCGAGCGCGGCGGAGGCGGCGCCGCCGCGGUUCCGCUUCUACAAGGACGGGGCCGAGGCCAUCGGCGGGGCCGAGGUGGCCACGCAGGGCCACCAGGCUCGGCUCCGGGUGGCCGAGAGCAGCCGAAACCACACCGGGAACUUCACCUGCGGCUACGAGGAGCACAUCGAGGGCCGCUGGAUCCUCUCCUUCCUCAGCGAGGCCGUGGAGGUCUUCGUCAAAGAGCCCCCCUCGGCUCCCCGCCUGGGCGUGGAGCCCCCCUUCACGGUGCUGAGCGAGGGCUCCCCGCUGCGACUCACCUGCCUGGCCCCCGGGGCCGGCUCCAGGCUGCGCUUCCGCUUCUACAGGAACGGGGUCGAGAUCCCGGAGGGCUCCCCCGGCCCCAAAAACCUCCCCGGGACCACCCCGGGGGGUUCCUCCGAGCUCCUCGUCCCGCAGACCCCGAGGGGCUUCGGCGGGACCUUCAGCUGCGGGUUCGAGGAGGACGUGGGCGGGACGUGGGUGCCGUCGCCCCGGAGCCAAGCGCUGGACAUCACCGUCAAGGACCUCCCGGGCCCGCCGGGCCUUCUGCUGGACCCCCCGUCGGGCGAAGUGAGGGCCGGGGACACCCUGGCGGUGACGUGCGCGGCCAACGGCACCGGCGGGGGCGAGCGGAGGUUUUACUUCUACAAGGACGGCGCCGAGCAGUUUUCGGAGGCGGGAGCCCGGGACCGGGCCCUCCUCAGCCUCCCCGUGGCCAAAAGCACGGCCGGGAGCUUCUCCUGCAGGUACGAGGAGAGGGUCGGCGACCGGUGGGUCCCGUCGCCGCUCAGCCACGCCGCGGUGGUCACCGUCAGAGCCGCGGCCCUGCCCGUCCCGCUGGUGGCCGGCUGCGGUGCCGCCGCCGCUGCGCUGCUCCUGGGGCUGCUCCUGGCCGUCUGCUACUGCCAGAGGAGGAGAGGGAGGGCCCACUGGAAAGGUCUCUACAACAAGGAGGACCCCAGCACUUACCCCAUGACCGGCGUCGACAGGAGCGAGCCCUGACCUCGAGAGGAGCCCGGCGCGGGCGGGAGGCCCCCGACCCCUCCUCCGAUAGGGUUCGGGGAGAGGAAAAAGCCCUCUUCUCUUCUUUUUUCCCCCAAAAAUUUCACCCCGACGUCGGCUUCGGAGGGCGCCCCCUCAAUAAACCACGCCCCGGACCCCA
ensembl:lncRNA